CAGUCGCCGCGGUAAUACGAAGGGUGCAAGCGUUAAUCGGAAUUACUGGGCGUAAAGCGUGCGUAGGCGGUGAGUUAAGUCUGCUGUGAAAUCCCCGGGCUCAACCUGGGAAUGGCAGUGGAUACUGGCUCGCUAGAGUGUGUCAGAGGAUGGUGGAAUUCCCGGUGUAGCGGUGAAAUGCGUAGAGAUCGGGAGGAAUACCGAUGGCGAAGGCAGCCAUCUGGCCUAAUACUGACGCUGAGGUACGAAAGCAUGGGGAGCAAACAGGAUUAGAUACCCCCGUAGUCCCUGUCUCUUAUAC
rnacentral:rRNA from 1 species